UGGGGAAUUUUGGACAAUGGGCGAAAGCCUGAUCCAGCAAUGCCGCGUGUGUGAAGAAGGCCUUCGGGUUGUAAAGCACUUUUGUCCGGAAAGAAAUCCUUGGCUCUAAUACAGUCGGGGGAUGACGGUACCGGAAGAAUAAGCACCGGCUAACUACGUGCCAGCAGCCGCGGUAAUACGUAGGGUGCAAGCGUUAAUCGGAAUUACUGGGCGUAAAGCGUGCGCAGGCGGUUUGCUAAGACCGAUGUGAAAUCCCCGGGCUCAACCUGGGAACUGCAUUGGUGACUGGCAGGCUAGAGUAUGGCAGAGGGGGGUAGAAUUCCACGUGUAGCAGUGAAAUGCGUAGAGAUGUGGAGGAAUACCGAUGGCGAAGGCAGCCCCCUGGGCCAAUACUGACGCUCAUGCACGAAAGCGUGGGGAGCAAACAGGAUUAGAUACCCUGGUAGUCCNCGCCCUAAACGAUGUCAACUAGUUGUUGGGGAUUCAUUUCCUUAGUAACGUAGCUAACGCGUGAAGUUGACCGCCUGGGGAGUACGGUCGCAAGAUUAAAACUCAAAUGGAAUUGACGGGGUCAUAGCUGUUUCCU
rnacentral:rRNA from 1 species